ensembl:ncRNA ZK973.19 ncRNA
GGCCUCUCCGGUGAGCACUUCGAUGAGAUGGCAUAGGAGAACACCAUCUCGGAUGUCUUCGAAAAGAUCCUCAAUUCGACCGGAUGAACUGUGCUGAAAUUUUUGGAAAAUUUUAAAGUGUAAUAUUAAACUUUUAUCUAUAAUUAUGUU